rnacentral:lncRNA from 1 species
CCAACCGCCAGUGCAAACCUGGAACGCCGCAUCACCAAAGCGGACGCGACACAAUGGACGUGCCCUUCUUCGUCGCCUUCUCCGCCAUCCUCCUCGUCGGCAGGUACCUCCCCUUCGCGCUCCCGGCGAACGCGCGCGCCGCGCUGGCCGACGACGGCACCGCGGCGCCGCCCGCCCGCGCCGCCAAGUGCGCCAUCUCGGUGGCCGUCGCAGGGCUCGUGCUGCUGGUGUCCGUGCAGUGCGGCUCUUCCGCCGGUUCCGGCGGCGGCCAUGGCCAUCAGCCGCAGCCGCGGCAGUGCCCGGCGGUGGAGGCGAGGGCGCUGUGGCUCAACUCCGCCGCGCUGUUCCUCGGCACGCUCCUCCUCGGUGCCGGAUCCGUGGCGCUGCACCCGCGCGCGCCGCCGAUCGUCGUGGUCGCCGUCGACCACCUGACCAGGGUCACCGAGACCAUCGCGAUCACCGCGUUCGCGCACGACCUCUGCAUCUUCUUCAAGGUCUCGAAGGUCUAACGAGUCAUUAAGCUGAACGAUGGCAGCAGCAUCAGAAUUCAUGGCCUAUUCCUAACUCUGUAAAACAUAGUAGUCCACUGUUGUGGAAGAUAUUCGUCUGUUUUCACUUUGUAAUAAUCUUUAUGAAAAUUACAGGUGACCGUCCCUGAUGUGCACUGCCACUGACCAGGUCAUAGAUGAAUUAUGCACAGAUUAUGGAAGGUCACUAUCUCCUAUAGUCCCACGAUCCACCAGAUCUGUACUAGUGCAGGAAAUUCUGCUCGUAUUUUCAUAUCAAAGCGGCUGUUGGCGGGUCAAUAAUUUUCUUUUUGGACAACAACGUCUGGCGGCUCAAUGAUUGUUGGUGGAUUAACGGGAUGAAAACGUGGCUCCCAGCUUCCAGCGGCCAAAUGGUGUUUGGAUAUGAGGUGCUAAACUUUAACAGUGUCAUAUCGGAUGUUCAGAUGCUAAUUAGGAGAACUAAACAUGAGCUAAUUAU